rfam:Acyrthosiphon pisum strain LSR1 Contig16411, whole genome shotgun sequence.
ACUCUCUCAUCAGUGAUCACCCCUACCACCACUAUAUGAUAGAUAACAUACGGUAAAGCGAAUGAUUAGAGGACAUUGGGGCCGAAACGACAUCAACCUAUUCUCAAACUAUAAAUGAGUGAGAUCGCCGGCUUUACCUGGUACACCGCGUGAACCGCGUGCGAAGCCGGUGACGGAACCCUAGGCGCUUAGUGGGCCAUUUUUGGUAAGCAGAACUGGCGCUGCGGGAUGAACCGAACGCCGAGUUAAGACGCCGAAAUCGACGCGUAUUCAGAGACCAUGAAAAGCGUUGGUUGCUGAUGACAGCAGGACGGUGGCCAUGGAAGUCGGAAUCCACUAAGGAGUGUGUGUUACGUACCUACGUAUACAUUAAUUAUGUAUAAACUAUGUACAGCGUAUCGUACGUUCUUAGCAAUAUCUAACGAUUGUAACUAAUAAGACAAUUAGUAUAUUAUAACACGCGGAGGUCGUUGCAAAAGCAUAGUAGAAACAAUCAAAUCAUAAAAGUGUCGUCACACGUAUCUUCUCGGGAAAGUCAACACUCAUACGAAGGAUACGAGUCGUCCUGCAUACCCAAGUUCGAGACCCGGACUCUGUCUCAUGACCGAAUUUUAGCCACUACAACGACCACCCACUCCAAAGGACCCGAUCAUAUAUAUACGAGCCCAUGACAAGAGCUCGUCAGACGGUUUAGGGACACUUAAGACACUUA